rnacentral:rRNA from 1 species
AUUGAACGCUGGCGGAAUGCUUUACACAUGCAAGUCGAACGGUAGAGGGGGCAACCCCUUGAGAGUGGCGAACGGGUGAGUAAUAUAUCGGAACGUGCCCAGUCGUGGGGAUAACGUAGCGAAAGUUACGCUAAUACCGCAUACGAUCUACGGAUGAAAGCGGGGGACUCGCAAGAGCCUCGCGCGAUUGGAGCGGCCGAUAUCAGAUUAGGUAGUUGGUGGGGUAAAGGGCUCACCAAGCCAACGAUCUGUAGCUGGUCUGAGAGGACGACCAGCCACACUGGAACUGAGACACGGUCCAGACUCCUACGGGAGGCAGCAGUGGGGAAUUUUGGACAAUGGACGCAAGUCUGAUCCAGCCAUUCCGCGUGCAGGAUGAAGGCCCUCGGGUUGUAAACUGCUUUUGUACGGAACGAAAAGGUUUCUAUUAAUACUAGGAGCUCAUGACGGUACCGUAAGAAUAAGCACCGGCUAACUACGUGCCAGCAGCCGCGGUAAUGU